CUCUCUCUCUCUCUCUCUUGGCGUUGUGGAGGAGAGAGAGAGCCAACUAUGCCACCAAAUUCUCCUCCUCCUCUUCCUCCGCCGCCUAGGCCAUUCUCCGAGUCGUCGACCCUCCUCCGAUCAUUUCCAAGAAGCGUUCUUGCGCGAAGAAUCGACCUCUCUCCGAAAAAUUGGAACAUGAGCCUUGUCUGAAGCAAGAAGCUGUCACUGUACCUAUAUCCACUGCAAAGAAGCUCCUUUAAAGAUUCUGGAAAAUGGUGGCUUGCUUGGUUUGUCUUCGGAAGAAUAUAAUAAAGUGGUUAUUUUAGACGCAAGUGAACGGGAAUCUACUGUUCAUCACUGUGUUCGGAGCUUGUGGCGACUUUGCCAAGAAGACAAAACUUCCUGCCCUUUUCGCACUUUAUUAUGAAGACUGCCUUCCAGACGUCUGGUUUAUCAUUCAACUGAACUUGGUUAUGCACGAACGAAGAUGAUUAGCAAGACACUUUCGUGCAUAAUUGACAAAAGGGAGAAUUCUGGUGAGAAGAUGGAGCAGUUUCUGAAAAGAUGCUUCUAUCAUGCAGGUCAAUAUCUUGCGAAGCCUGACAAGAAGCUGAAAGAACACGGGCUAGUUCUUGUAUCUAUAAGAUGAGGAUAUCCUCAAUUUUAGAAGUUUGACUCUGAUGAAGGUACAUAUGAUGACAUUCAGCAAAUGUUAAUUUGUUUGGAUCAUCCAAAAUAUCUCGAUUAAGCCUUUUGUAUUUUUUAUGUGAAAACAAUGUUGAAUGGUUAGAGAAAUAAUAUUAAAAUUGGAACUGA